CCAAUGGUUCCUUUUCCUUGAGGUGAAGUUGUUGAAAAACGAAGUGUCGAUUGGAGAGAUCCGAUUGCGCUGUUCUUUGGCCUCAUUUACUUCAUUCUUGGUUUCUUACGAAGUCUUCUACCUGUUGAUGGUCCACCUAAAGAUGACCGAAACAAGAGCAGGAUAAGAGGAUUUCCAAGUUCAGGAAAUGGACCUCCACCUCCUCCUCCUUGAGGUGGAUGAGGUUAAGUUUGAUUUCUCAUUUAAAUGAUAAGAUUAUAUUGAAAUUGGAAACUCAAUCUUAUCAAGUAAAUUACUCAUAUACAAUAUUGGCAUCUUCUUUUUCUU